rnacentral:rRNA from 1 species
GAUCCUGGCUCAGGAUGAACGCUGGCGGCGUGCCUAACACAUGCAAGUCGAACGAAGCACUUUACUCGGAUCCUUCGGGUGAUGGUUUAGUGACUGAGUGGCGGACGGGUGAGUAACGCGUGGGUAACCUGCCCUGUACAGGGGGAUAACAGUUAGAAAUGACUGCUAAUACCGCAUAAGCGCACGAUGGUAGCAUUACCAGGUGUGAAAAACUCCGGUGGUACAGGAUGGGCCCGCGUCUGAUUAGCUAGUUGGCGGGGUAAGGGCCCACCAAGGCGACGAUCAGUAGCCGGUCUGAGAGGAUGAACGGCCACAUUGGAACUGAGACACGGUCCAAACUCCUACGGGAGGCAGCAGUGGGGAAUAUUGCACAAUGGGGGAACCCUGAUGCAGCAACGCCGCGUGGGUGAAGAAGUAUUUCGGUAUGUAAAGCCCUAUCAGCAGGGAAGAUAGUGACGGUACCUGACUAAGAAGCUCCGGCUAAUACGUGCC